UAACAAAUCACAUAAUUUUAUAUUGAAAAUAAAAAAAUAAAAAAAAUCUUAAUUACCUUUUCAUAUGUUAUCUUUCACCGCUGCCUCUAACCAAACUACCGCCGUUCGCUUCUUUACUCUCCUCCGCCGUACUCUCUUCUGUCGCGCCGUUCGGUUUAAUAGUAGUUGUGCUCUUUUAAGUUAAAUUACGGUAUAUGUAUUUGAUUUAUUAGGUUUCACUUUUAGCAAUGUGUUCAUCAUACAUUGUUUCAUUAAAAAAUGUAAUUCAUAUUGUAAUGAAACAAUGUAUUAGGUUUCACUUUUAGCAAUGUGUUCAUCAUACAUUGAUUGAACCUUAUUGGUGUUUUUUCGGUGUAAUUUCAGUGUUUUUUGUGGCGUUCUGUUCGAUCAAUGUUUCAUGAGUGUCCUUUAAGUGGUUUUUAGGUGUAUUAAUUAAGUGUUUUUCAUCCUCAUAAUUUUGCAAAUGUAAGGUGCAUCUAAAAUGUUUUGCAAGCUGCAAUUUCUGGGUUGGCUAUCGACCACUUGGGAGUUGGGACAUUGAUCGAAUUGUGAUUCUUAAUUUCUAAUUGUGUAAUGGAGGAUUCUGAAGAGCAGAAACAAAGUUAACCAAUUGAUGGCAAGGGAGACAAAAAAAUCUAGGAUCAGCUUGUCACCUUCUGUCCAACUGUGAUUUUGCUGUGCUGGGAGGCAGCGAACCUGGGUUCUCUUGUGAUGCUUGAAUUUGAUCCCAAAGUGUGGUGCUAUAGCUGCUGCGAUAUGUUGGCAUCUCUAGUGGAAUAAAAACAAUACUGUACGGACAAUGGUGGCAAUAGUGCAGCAGCGGUGGUUAAUAAGGCUAGGCAGAGCCUUCAUGCUUAGCAGUGUGCAAAUUCUAGAGCUGGUGCUUCUCGUAGCCAUCAGGUUGAUGAUAGUGACAGUGCCGUUACACCGACUGCUCCCGGUUGGUCACACAGUGACUUUCCAGGAUACCAAUAGCAUAGGAGCAGGGUGUGUUGUUCAGGAUAAGUUUAAUUAUAUCAUUCAAGCUGUGCAGGUUAAUUUGCAGGGUAAGUUCACUUCUCGUCGUACUGCAUAAAUUAUGGCAAUUAGAGAGGUUUGAGUUGGCUCCAUGGCUGGUCAAAGUUGAUUACGGGACCUUCAUGUCCGUAAUACUUCUAGUAGUUAGCCUCUAAAUUUAAUGUUUGGGAGAUGAAAUGUACAAAAGUUCAUGAUGAAGAAAACGGGAAAUUUAAUUUUUUUGCAUAUAUUAGCUAGUUUUGGCAAGUGUAAGAUAGAUCAUAGAUGCAAAUAGGAUUUGGUAGUAUGUAUUUCUUUCUGGGAAGUUCUUACCUAGACCCGGUCUAUGAAAAAUUCAUGGACCUAUCCAAUGAGGUGUUAGAGAAAUAAGAAAAAAGAAAAAAUAAUAGGAAGAAAGAGAAAAUUGUGUUAGAUUUUCUAACACCUCAUUGGGUAGGUGCAUGGAAAAUUCAUGGACCGGGACUAGGUAAGAAUUUCCCUUUCUUUAUUCAUAUAUUUAUCCCCUAAUAGAGAUGCAUUUUUUGAUUUAUUUAGUAAAUGUGACAUCUCAGCUUAUAUUCAUUUUCCUUUUGGGAUUUGCCUCUAUCUAA